rnacentral:misc_RNA from 1 species
GUUAAAAUCAUCGUCUUUGUAUGCUGUCACCCACUUUAGCUAUAGAGAUGAAUUUCAAAUAAGCAAUUAGGAAAUGAGGGGUAUGGAGAAUUCGCUGCAAACUGACUACAAUUGCAGGAAGGACAAAAAGAUAAUUCCAACUUAUUUUUUAUGGACUUGGAACUGUCUCCAACCUGAACAAUAAAGCCAAUAUCAUGAGGAAAGAAAUAAAUGUAGUUGACAA